rnacentral:rRNA from 1 species
GACGAACCGUGCGAACGUUAUUCGGAAUCACUGGGCUUAAAGGGCGCGUAGGCGGGUCAGCAAGUCAGGGGUGAAAUCCCACGGCUCAACCGUGGAAGUGCCUUUGAUACUGUUGAUCUCGAGGGAGGUAGGGGCGUGCGGAACUUCCGGUGGAGCGGUGAAAUGCGUAGAUAUCGGAAGGAACACCGGUGGCGAAAGCGGCGCGCUGGACCUCUUCUGACGCUGAGGCGCGAAAGCCAGGGGAGCAAACAGG